rnacentral:rRNA from 1 species
UACGGAGGGUGCGAGCGUUGUCCGGAAUCACUGGGCGUAAAGGGCGCGUGGGUGGCGCGGGCAGUCAACGGUGAAAGUUCGGGGCUCAACCCUGAAUCGGCCGUCGAUACUCCCGUGCUUGAGCACUGUAGAGGCAGAUGGAAUUCCGGGUGUAGCGGUGGAAUGCGUAGAGAUCCGGAAGAACACCGGUGGCGAAGGCGGUCUGCUGGGCAGUAGCUGACACUGAGGCGCGACAGCGUGGGGAGCAAACAGG